rnacentral:rRNA from 1 species
AUCCUAGUACGGCGAGUGAGCGGCAAAAGCUCAAAUUUGAAAUCUGGUACCUUCGGUGCCCGAGCUUGUAAUUUGGAGAGGGCAACUUUGGGGCCGUUCCUUGUCUAUGUUCCUUGGAACAGGACGUCAUAGAGGGUGAGAAUCCCGUGUGGCGAGGAGUGCGGUUCUUUGUAAAGUGCCUUCGAAGAGUCGAGUUGUUUGGGAAUGCAGCUCUAAGUGGGUGGUAAAUUCCAUCUAAAGCUAAAUAUUGGCGAGAGACCGAUAGCGAACAAGUACAGUGAUGGAAAGAUGAAAAGAACUUUGAAAAGAGAGUGAAAAAGUACGUGAAAUUGUUGAAAGGGAAGGGCAUUUGAUCAGACAUGGUGUUUUGUGCCCUCUGCUCCUUGUGGGUAGGGGAAUCUCGCAUUUCACUGGGCCAGCAUCAGUUUUGGUGGCAGGAUAAAUCCAUAGGAAUGUAGCUUGCCUCGGUAAGUAUUAUAGCCUGUGGGAAUACUGCCAGCUGGGACUGAGGACUGCGACGUAAGUCAAGGAUGCUGGCAUAAUGGUUAUAUGCCGCCCGUCUUGAAACACGACCA